UACGUAGGUGGCAAGCGUUGUCCGGAUUUAUUGGGUUUAAAGGGUGCGUAGGCGGCUUUAUAAGUCAGUGCUGAAAUAUCCCGGCUUAACCGGGAGGGUGGCAUUGAUACUGCAGAGCUUGAGUGAAGUCGAGGUAGGCGGAAUUGAACGGUGUAGCGGUGAAAUGCUUAGAUAUCGUCAAGAACACCGAUAGUGAAGACAGCUUACUAGACUUCAACUGACGCUGAGGCACGAAAGUGUGGGGAUCAAACAGG
rnacentral:rRNA from 1 species